CCAGGUCUUGACAUCCUCUGACAACCCUAGAGAUAGGGCUUUCCCUUCGGGGACAGAGUGACAGGUGGUGCAUGGUUGUCGUCAGCUCGUGUCGUGAGAUGUUGGGUUAAGUCCCGCAACGAGCGCAACCCUUGAUCUUAGUUGCCAGCAUUCAGUUGGGCACUCUAAGGUGACUGCCGGUGACAAACCGGAGGAAGGUGGGGAUGACGUCAAAUCAUCAUGCCCCUUAUGACCUGGGCUACACACGUGCUACAAUGGACAGAACAAAGGGCUGCGAGACCGCAAGGUUUAGCCAAUCCCAUAAAUCUGUUCUCAGUUCGGAUCGCAGUCUGCAACUCGACUGCGUGAAGCUGGAAUCGCUAGUAAUCGCGGAUCAGCAUGCCGCGGUGAAUA
rnacentral:rRNA from 1 species